CACCCCCAGCUGUAGGAAAGUUC
rnacentral:piRNA from 1 species